AUAUUCGUUUCAUCCAACAGCCCCAAAAAUCACUGUUUCCAUGAGCUGGGUGGUGUGGGAGGAACAGACUUUUGACCAAAUUAGUCGCCUGUAUCGUGCCAUUGGAUCCCGGGUUCCUUUGAGGACCACAUGGAUGGGCAGGACAAUAAAACUUCUGGAUUUUGUAGGAAAAUGUAACAUUUCGUUAUGUGAUCCAAGGAGGAAUCCAGUUCCUGGCUCAGUGCACUAUCAGAAGGAGUCCGAUACUCUGGCUGUCUGCUGUAAGGUCUGUUAACUCAACUGUUCAACUAGUACUGACAAUAAGCUAAACUGCACACCUGUCCUUCUUUACUUUGUCCAUACUGCCACAUCAAAACAUUGCACAGAAUUAUAUUUAUUAAUUUACAUUCAGUCAUUUGAAUGAGUGUUUUACAGGAUUUGUAAAAUGUCCUGAACAACAGAAUUCAGGUGGGAUAUAACCUGUGCAAAUGUUCCAUCAUAUCACUUCAAUAAUGUGACAAUACCCCUAAAAUAUAUAUUUUUUAGAAUCAGUACAACAACAAAGUCAUGACAUGCCCACUACUGUGCUGCAAUUACUUUCUCUUUUUAACACAAAUUAAAUUAUGAAUUUAAUAUAAUUCAUUAUUAUUUAAAUUCUUGGGCAAUUGCAUGACGCGGUGAUUGGGCACAAAUGCAUCCAAAUUUAUCUUGUUACAUUUUACAAAAACUCUUCCAUCCAAUGUAUCUAUCUAAAGUAAUAAAUUAAUAAAGAGAAAGAAUAAAAAAUAAAGUAGAACUGCAAGCAGUUGUGAUAAGAGUCCAAGCCUCCCAACGCCAGCUGCGCCCUGCGGACGGCUAGAUAGAUAGAUAGAUAUAGAUAGUAGCAUUGCAUCAGAUCAGGUGAGAA